UAAAAACUUCCAGUUGACAGAGAGCUUAUUUUUCCAUGGACACCUGAGCCCGACCAAGCGUCUAAAGGCUCACCGCCAUUCCGAGAGCAGGAGGACGGCCAGGCUCCUAGACGACACGCCAGCUGACCAGAGAGAACAAUGAAACGGAGCAUAAUAUAACAAAAAUGCAACGGUGUGCUACAUCGUCACAUACGUGUGCGAAGACUCCAGUGACCACAACACCACUGAGAAAUUUAUGUGCCUCCCUUACUGCCAAAGGCAAAAGUCAAAACUUAACUUCAUCUGCUAUGGACUGAGGAGAAUUUUCAACACGACUUACCAGCUAUCAGCUCAAACAUGGUACUAACUGAGGUGAGUCCUUGGGUGCUCCACACGUCAGAGAUUAAAUCAUUCUUACAGGAGCUUUUGCCUGCAAACGGUAACAAUGGGUCCAGCCUUCCUAAGGACUCGUAUCACAGGGAGCCACAUGGAGACACUCAUUUGUAUGGAGGGACCUGUAAAGGUGUCAAUCCCAGAGAGGAGCAUGAAAUAAGGGUUUUACAAAUGCUGCCAACAAGUCCGGGUCAGAAAAGGAACGAGUGUGUAGGGCUCAGGCCUUACACACCCUCCCAGACGCAGAGCGACUGUCCAGCAGCCUGCAGUACCUGCAUCUACAGAGAAACCUACCAUGUCAUAAACUACACGAAACUGAACAUAAUAAAGACAGCGAACAGA